rnacentral:ncRNA from 1 species
AAGAGAGGUGGAGUAAACCUUCAUCUAGUCUUUAUAUAAAGGCAAAACCUUCAAAUUGCGGGAAAGUCUUAAAGACAAAUCUACCAAGUUAAUGCAGUAAUGUAAUUAAUGGAACAGGUAAUGACUCGUUGUAUGGUAAAAACGAUUUGCAUGAAGAAAUGAAAUAGAUAAUCCGCAGCCAAACACCAGUGUAUAACUAUCUUGGUGCGCAGUUCAUCGAUUAAAUGUAGGUUGGUUUAUAAUUAUAGUGGCUAGCAUAGCUUGCGCUAAGCGCAGCAAGCUAAAGCUUAUAAUUAUAGGCUUAAGAUAUAAUCAGGCAUAAUUUAAAGAUUAUG